CAGCAGCAGCCGCGGGAAUACGUAGGCAGCGAGCGUUGUUCGGAAUUACUGGGCGUAAAGAGUGUGUAGGCGGUGCUCUAAGUUCGGUGUGAAAUCUCCUGGCUUAACUGGGAGGGUGCGCCGGAAACUGGAGUGCUCGAGCGUGGGAGGGGAAAGCGGAAUUCCUGGUGUAGCGGUGAAAUGCGUAGAUAUCAGGAGGAACACCUGUGGUGUAGACGGCUUUCUGGACCAUUGCUGACGCUGAGACACGAAAGCGUGGGUAGCAAACAGGAUUAGAUACCCCAGUAGUCCCUGUCUCUUAUAC
rnacentral:rRNA from 1 species